rnacentral:rRNA from 1 species
AUUGAACGCUGGCGGCAGGCCUAACACAUGCAAGUCGAACGAGUGGCGGACGGGUGAGGAAUGUCUGGGAAACUGCCCGAUGGAGGGGGAUAAGUGCUGGAAACGGUAGCGAAUACCGCAUACCAUCGGAUGUGCCGAGAUGGGAUUAGCUAGUAGGUGGGGUAACGGCCCACCUAGGCGACGAUCCCUAGCUGGUCUGAGAGGUUGACCAGCCACACUGGAACUGAGACACGGUCCAGACUCCUACGUGAGGCAGCAGUGGGGAAUAUUGCCCAAUGGGCGCAAGCCUGAUGCAGCCAUGCCGCGUGUAUGAAGAAGGCCUUCGGGUUGUAAAGUACUUUCAGCGAGGAGGCGUUACUCGCAGAAGAAGCACCGGCUAACUCCGUGCCAGCAGCCGCGGUAAUAC